AUGCCCAACAAAUGUUUUGAGACCCCCUCCAUUUCUCUUCUUCCCAGGCAUCUCCACUCUGCCCAAGUCCACAUAUCUGCGUAUUCAUCAGAGAUAAGCAGCUACUUGGAAAAGAUAUGCUUGUUUUUUCUCCAAAUGGCCAAAUUUGUGUCAGUGACUGCACUGGAGGCAGAAGAUGUGAAUCCUGGAACUUGUAUUUUAAAUGAGAAAAUAACAAUGGAGUUUAAACCAAUCGCUGGCUCUAAAGGCCCACCAAUAGAUCCUGCAGAAGACUAAAUGCACACGUGUUCUUAUUUCUCAAGGAAGCUGCACAAAAGCAGACUUGUUCAUGGCAGGAAAAGGAAGAUCUUAGAAACCACAGCCACCAGUGAGCAAGCAGAGCUCAAUAUGGCCUGCUCCUCCCUACCCUCACCAGUUGACUGGGGGUCAGGGUACGGGGACACAUCUUCCAGUUUAUGUUUUGACAUUGGAAAUGAAGAUGGACACACCAAGACUGUAGAUUUAAAUCCAUCUGCCCUUUGAGAUUUAGUUCUCUACAAAAAUUUUCCACCAUGUUGCUCCAACAUAAUUAGGCACUCCCAGGUGGCCCUAAUGUGAAGUGGUGACCUGUUCCUUACCCACUGUGCCAGAGGGAAGGAGUGGCAGAUCCGGCUCGAGACAAGGUUCCUUUGGAUGUAGAAAAGUCUUCAUUAUAACUGGGUUAGAAACAGGAGAGUUGAGCAUCUGAGAUUCCGCAAAACACUGAAGAGAGACAUGACUUGCUUUAAGUUCAAAAAGUUCAUGUCUGCACAGCCAGUGAUUAAGGAAACUUUUCAUAAACCUCAGAGGUUCUGUGAAGAUUCUGGCUACUAAGAAUGUCAGUCUCAGUGAUGAAAGAUAACUUGGAGACGGGUUAAAGAAUAAUGUUUGCAUCUUCAGUCUUCACUGUGUGGGAUCAAGAAGCUGUACCCCACUAGAGUUAGCUAAUAUUAUGCAAGCUUUGAAAAGAGAGAUGUUUUUGUGAGUAGGAUAACCUAGUGAGAAUAAAAAGUCUGAUUUGAUGAAAAGCCUCUGGUAA
rnacentral:lncRNA from 1 species